GACGAACCGAGCGAACGUUAUUCGGAAUCACUGGGCUUAAAGCGUGUGUAGGUGGAUGUCUAAGUACCUUGUGAAAUCCCACGGCUCAACCGUGGAACUGCUCGGUAUACUGGAUGUCUUGAGCCACUUAGGGGCUACCGGAACAAAUGGUGGAGCGGUGAAAUGCGUAGAUAUCAGGAGGAACAUCCGUGGCGAAGGCGGCUCUCUGGGACGGUACUGACGCUGAGACGCGAAAGCGUGGGGAGCGAAUAGG
rnacentral:rRNA from 1 species